CACUUAAUUCAGUCAUUACUUGUUAUUUGGCUUGCUGUAGGCUCUUAGGCUUGUGAGAUGAUGAAAUCAUGUGCUGCAUACAAGCCUAAUUCGGAUAGUACAUUUCACUUUAUGCUGCUGGGAUAUGUAGCUGAACACUCAUGAAGGAAAAUCCAUAUUGGAUGGCUUUAUAGAAAAUAAUCCAGACCCAAUAUUUUAUAGUAGAUGCCUUCUCAUGCCAUCUACUAAUGUGAUGCAAGGAGUUAACUAAUUCCAAUUUUCAAGGCACGUUUUUUACGGCUUAGCACAUAUACCACGCUUUUGCUUUUGAUGGUCUUUGCUACUUAGUUUAGGCAUCUAAAAUGUUGUAAUUUUAGAUUCCUAUGUUGCAUGAAACAUAGGAAUUAGUUUUCUUGAUCAGUUAUGGGUGGUAGCUUAUUUACCUAAGCACCAAAUGUAAAAGUGCACAGAGCUGGACAAACCACUCCAAAUAGUUUUCGAUAGGUAUCAGCAGGCUCCUAUGCCCUCUCAAAAUGAUGCUUCACAGAUUUGCAGCCAUCGCCUUUUUUAUUGGAGUUCUCACAAAGUAUAGCUACUGCUAUUGUAUCUUUUUUAUAUUAAUUUUAAAUUUGUAAAUCUGUUGAAGCCUUAUCUUUUUGCUAUUGAUUUUGAAUUUGUAAUUUGUAAAUCUGUUUUAGCCUUGUCUUGUCUGUAUAUAGCUCUAUAUUCCUGUAACAAGAUUUUGUUAUCAGCUUCAGCUU